GCAGAGGUCGCUUAGCCUGGUAGAGCGCGGGCCUUGAGAGCCUGUGUGUGCAAGCACGCGGGGGUUCGAAUCCCUCUCUCUGCG
rnacentral:tRNA from 8 species